rnacentral:rRNA from 1 species
GUGGGGAAUCUUGCGCAAUGGGCGAAAGCCUGACGCAGCCAUGCCGCGUGAAUGAUGAAGGUCUUAGGAUUGUAAAAUUCUUUCACCGGGGACGAUAAUGACGGUACCCGGAGAAGAAGCUCCGGCUAACUUCGUGCCAGCAGCCGCGGUAAUACGAAGGGGGCUAGCGUUGCUCGGAAUUACUGGGCGUAAAGGGCGCGUAGGCGGACAGCUUAGUCAGGGGUGAAAGCCCAGGGCUCAACCUUGGAAUUGCCUUUGAUACUGGCUGUCUUGAGUGUGGGAGAGGUGAGUGGAACUCCGAGUGUAGAGGUGAAAUUCGUAGAUAUCGGGAGGAACACCAGUGGCGAAGGCGGCCUGCUGGACAUUAACUGACGCUGAGGCGCGAAAGCGUGGGGAGCAAACAGGAUUAGAAACCCCGGUAGUCC